CGCCGUGCCCUGCGCGCUGCUGCUGGAGCUGGCGGCGGCGCUGGACCCGCACCUGAGGCGGCGGGGGGAGCAGGUGAGGGACAGGUGAGGGUACCUGGGGGUACCUGGGGAUACCUGGGGGUCACCGACGCCGCCGUGCCCUGCGCGCUGCUGCUGGAGCUGGCGGCGGCGCUGGACCCGCACCUGAGGCGGCGGGGAGAGCAGGUGAGGGUACCUGGGGACAGGUGAGGGACAGGUGAGGGUACCUGGGGGUACCUGGGGACAGGUGAGGGACAGGUGAGGGUACCUGGGGGUACCUGGGGGUACCUGGGGACAGGUGAGGGUCACCUGGGGGUAGCUGGGGGUCACUUCAGGAUGUCUCGGGGGUACCUGGGCACACCUCAGGACACCUGAGGGACACCUAGGGGUCACCUAGGGC
rnacentral:lncRNA from 1 species